CACAGAUUUCUUGAAUAUUCUGAUCUCAACAUUUUUUCUCUAUCAUUGACUCUACUUUCAAAGUUACAUAUUUUGCCUUCAAGGUUUGAGAAUCUGUCUUCAAAGUGGUCUAGUCUAUUAGUGAUUUUUUCAACUGAAUUUUUAAUUUUCAGGAUUUGUGUUUGGUCCUUUUUCAGAAUCUCUAUUUCUUUGUUGAAAUGUUCUUUCACUUUCUGUUAUGGUCUAUCUUAAUUCCUUCCUUAAAUCUUAUUUAUUUCAUUGAACAUUUUAAUUAUCAACUUUCUAAAUUCUUUUUCUGGCGUUUCCUCUAUUCUGAGGUGUCCGUGGGAUCAGUUGUCGUGAGGUACUUGGGAUAGCUUGCUAUCUUCAUUUUUCAUAUUGUUAGUAUUUAUGCCCAUCUUCUGGGAUAAUUCUUUCUUCUACUUUUAUGUGAGGGAUUUUUUAGUGAGUUGUUUUUUCUUUACUGCGUGUCCUGGGUUGGUUAAAUAUCAGUAUUUUCACUCAUUUUGAACUUGCUACUAUGUUCUGUCUCUAACAUCACAUUGAGAUGAGAUACUGAUCCACAGUAAUUAUAGCCACUUCAGAGGAAUGCCUUCUACUAAUACAUUUUAAAAAAAAAUACUAAUAAUGUUCUUCUGCAACCCACUAAACUAUUGUUCUUGGUCAGUUUCUUUUUUUGGGGGGUACUAGGGAUUGAACUCAGGGACACUCAACCACUGAGCCACAUGCCCAGCCCUGUUUUAUAUUUUAUUUAGAGACAGGGUCUCACUGAAUUGCUUAGCACCUUGCUUUUGCUGAGGCUGGCUUAGAACUCAUGAUCCUCUUGCCUCAGCCUCUGGAGCCACUGGGAUUAUAGGCGUGCACCACCGUGCCUGGUCUUGGUCAGGUUUUUGAAGUAGGGUUUUUUCUUUGUGUUUAUCAUUUGUUUAUUCUCAUCUCUGAUCCAAAGGAGUCAAACUUGUUAGGGGAGUCUCUAUAUAGAGUUUCACUGCAGGCUUUUACUUUCCCCCUUUGUAGGAGUCUCAGACCUUAUUCCGAUGGUUCAAAUUCCAAACAGCAGAGCAAAUGGGAAGUGCCUCUCCCCUCUACUUUGCCAUCUUGCUACAUCUUGAAGACAUUAUUCAUUUCCUGGUUUUUAUGAUGCCCAUGAUUUUCCCUGAGGAUCUUCCAGCCCAAGCAGAGUAGAGAGACUCGGGCUUCCUGAGCUGAAGAAGGGCAGCCUAGACAUGGAUCCAAAGAACCUGACAUUUUAUUCUGAGUAUUUUGUGGUAUUCUCCUACUAAAUAUAUUAGCCUUUUGUUAUGUAAUAGUAAAAAGGUUUUGGAGUGCUUUUGACUGACUUUCACAGUGGUUUUUUUGUUAUACAAAAGAAAUGGGUUUAGGUAGUCUAGUUUCUCAAUCUCUCUUGUGUGGAUUUGGGAUUUUGUAACAUGUUUUAGCAUUCUCCAUUUUUAGAUGAUAAACAAAAGUCUCCUAUUUUUUUGCAAAACUGUUUUAGAUUCAUAUUUAUUUUUUUUAUCUGUCCAGAAAUAUUUUUAAGUAUGUACUAGGGUACAUAUGUAUGUAUGUACUUUUUUUUUUCCCAGAUAGCUACAAGUUGGUUUUUUUUUAAAAUUUAUUUUUUAUUUAGAGUCAGGGUCUCACAAAACUGCUUAUGGCCUCACAUUUAGUAUAAAUUGCUAAGGCUGGCCUUGGACUCAUAAUCCUCCUGCCUCAGCCUCCUGAGUUUUUGGGAUCACAGUCAUGUGCCACCACACCUGCCUUUACAUAUUUGUUCUUAUACCAUUUAUUUCAUAAAACAUUCCCUCAGUGAAGUGAUACCUUUAUAAUAUACCAUGAUAUUAUGAUAUAAAAAGUAUGUAUUUGGUCUUUGUCCUUGGUUUCUAACCAUAGAGCUUCUUUUUUUUAAUUUUAUUUUUAAAAACUUUGUGGUACUGAAAACUGAACCCAGGGCUUCAUGUAUGUUAGCCAAGCAUUCCACUACUGAACUACACCUGCAGCCCUUCACAAGAGCUUCUGAAAUACUAGGGAUUACCUGAACAUUUUUUGUUAAUUUACUCUUCUUUCUCUCUCUCUUUUCACUUUUCAUUGAUUCUUUUUAGUGAUACAUAACAUUGGGAUUCAUUUUGACAUAAUUAUAAAGGCACAGAAUAUAGUUUGCUCUAAUUUAGUCCCAAGUAUUUCCCCUUUCUCAUCCCUCCUCCCUCCCACUGUUCCUGUCCUUCUACUCUAAUGACCUUUCUGCUAUUUAAUUUUAGUUUUUUGUCUGUCUUUUGCUUUUUUUUUUUAGUUAGUGUCUUGUGAAUAUGCGUGAUGGUGAGAUUCACUGUGGUAUACAUGCUCUUUGUCCUUGGUUACUGGCACAGACGUCCUAAGAGCUCUGUAAUUCCCUGAGGAAUAAUAAUAAGAUGGUCCUUGGCUGAGUGGAACUUAGGUGUGUUCAGAAUGGGAGAUGGCUACUAGGAAGAUCAACCAUGUAAUUAGAAGGUUAGAACUUCAGUCCCACCCUGGCCACUGGGGAAGGAACAGGAGGUAGAAAUGGAGUUAAUCACCAAUGGCUAAUGAAUUUAAUCAAUUAUGUAUCCAUUUUCUUUGACCAUCAACUUUAGAAAACUUCCAAUUGUCAAUUUUUUUCUCUGCCUCUUUGAGAUAAAUCUUCUUCCUGCCUCUUGCCACUUGUACCACCUAGGAAUGUCUAUCUCAAGGAUUUGAGAGCCAUACAUUUGAAAUUUAAACCAGAAAGAUAUGGCCUCUAUGGCAGUACUGUACAUUUCUUAUAAUUACUUUAAUUUGAUCUAACCAUUUUGCUUUAUAAUUCUAGAAUUCUGCUUUUAUCUUUUUUAGUUACUGCCUUCUGUUUUC
rnacentral:lncRNA from 1 species